UCCCCCAGAGUCCCCAUGUGAUCCCGGAUGAGGACACCAAUGGAAGGCAUCCUAAAUAAGGUUGAGAAUUGCUGCAUUAGAACCAUCGUCAUCUAAAAAGAUUAGGACCAUCUUAAUCUAAAGAGCCAAAUACAACUAACCACGCCCAGUUUGUUUUCCGUUGCUGUGGAAAAACACCAAAAGGAACCAGGGGAGGCAAGGGUUUUAUCUGGAUUACAGGUUACAGUCCCUCAUCCAGGGAAACUGAGGCAGGAACAUGGACAUGAGAACUAAAGCAGAGACCACAAGGGAUGCUACUUUUCCUGCUGCUCACUGGUUUGAGUCCCCUGUUCCUGGUUCAACCUGUUUUCUUCUACAAUAAGGGAUGACCUGCCCAAGUGACACCACCCACUGCAAUCAGCAAUCAAGGAAAUUCACCACAGAUAUGUCCUGUGGGCCAACCUGCUGGAGGCCAUUCAACUCCCAGAGUUAAGAAUACAUCCAGAGUGGAUUCCAGACAACCUCGAGCACAGCACAAGCCUAAACAGCUUUCCAACCUGGAAAAAUUCGAUUAGGAGACUGUUUUAGGAAAUGGCUGCCAGCCAACUAAGCUGAAGAGAAAAUAAUGCCAUUCCCAGUCCAAGGGACCCAACUGUCAACUUUAAUACAUAAACAAGACAGGCUGCCGGCCAACUUGGCAGAGGGGAGGUCCGUACUCCAGCCCCUCUUUAAGGCUUGCUUUAAAAUUAGGUCCUUAUUUAUAAUGCCUAAUGACCGCUUUCACUUAAGAGCAGCAGCGUGGCAAAAGCACUGCCGAGCCAUGAUUUCAUGUGCAGGUGUUUCAGAGCUUGAGGAAUCAAUCCUGAGGGAAGGCUGCACAUCAUAGCACCUGAUGAGACAGGGUGCCUGACUUCUGGCAUAAAGUCGUGAGGCAGCCCACAAAUCCUCUCCCCAAGCAAGUAACUGCAGAGCUGCUUAAGAGUCAAAAACAGCCAUUUCAGUAACUCUGGAAAUAAACCAGAGACAGUCAACAGACUGACAAGUGUUUAUUCAUAAAAAAAAAAAAAAAAAAAAAAAAAAAAAAGGCCUGGAUUUGGGUUCUAAAGAACAGCACAAAUUCUCACUUUCUUGCCAGGAGCUGCUCCAGUCCUUCCCCAGUUCUGUCCUAUCAGACGGUCAGCAAAGGGUGGGGCAGGCCUUGGAAACCAACUUCCCUGAUCACACAAAGGGCCAACUGACCCUGGAUAUGGCCAGUGCACUCAGCAAUCUAUACAGCUGGAUAAAGACUUGCCCCAGGCUACUGUUCUAUUUGGAGUGUGCAAUGAACUGGCAGAUCAUCCAGCUACUCAACAGAGUCCCAGGAAGAUGCCCUUGGCCCUGUGAGGCUUAAAAUGUUCUUUACAAAUCCCAGGUUGGCUGGAGGCUAUAAGCUUGCACAGCAAGACACCAGAGCCAGUCUAAGCUGCUCACACAUACCUGGCCAAUAGAACCUGUGCACACAGAGAAGAAUAAAAGAAGCAGCCAGAGGAAAUCCAUGCUGGGACAGAUGGGAAAACAGCCCAGAGUACGGCCGUCCACUUGGCUUCACAGCUGAGAAUGUCUUACAGUGAAGACAACUGUCUUCACCCAGUAUGGAGCUGAACCCUACACUAUGUGGACACCAGCAUGGGUAAAACCCCUCCAGGAAGGCAUAAGCUUAACUAGAAAGGCAAACUAAACCCCAGCUGCAGAGAAACCACAGUGGGCAGGGGUUCAGUCCAAUCCAGGUACUAAAAUGAGCUAACAAAACAACCAGCACCAGCACCUUCAGGGAUCCUGGCUGCAUCAAUGUAUAUUGUAGUCAAUAACAUUCAUUAGAUUAGUAGAGGAAAAAAAAAAAGUGUGACCUGAGUCAGCAAAACAGCUCUGUUGGUAAAGCACUUGCUGCUAAGCCUGACAAUCUGAGUUCGAUUCCCGAGACUUACACGGUGGAAAGAAAGGUGUUCUCUGAACUUCACAGGCAUGCCUUGGCAUGUGCACACACCCCAAAUGAAGAAAUGUGAGAACGAUAAAAUAAAAUUUCAGUGUAAACUAACCUGGGGCUGGAGCAGUAAGAAGCAAUCAAUAGAAAUGGUUUCCGAGGGCUACAAGUUUUUGGAUUUAGUGAACAAAGAUUCAAAACAGCUACUCUGGCCAGGCAGUGGUGGUGCACGCCUUUAAUCCCAGGUGGAUUUCUAUGAGUUCGAGGCCAGCCUGGUCUAGAGCGAGUGACAGGAUAGGCUCCAAAGCUACACAGAGAAACCCUGUCUCGAAAAACAAAAAAACAGCUACUCUAAAUAUGCUUCAAAAACUAAACAAAACUAUGUUUAAAGAAUGAAAGGCAAGUGCAACAAGGCUGACUCAAAAGAGAGGAGAAAUGAAGAGGAAGAAAAAAAUGAGAAAAAAUGGAAAACUCACUACAGAUGAUCAACCACAGAUUUCAGACAGCAGACAGACAGCGGAGCCAAUGACACAGAUCAGCCAGUAAAAACCAACCAACCAACCUAAAGAGCAGGAGGGAAAACAGAUCAAAGGAACUGAACGCUGAACUGAACCCAAUGUGCGCUAGCACCAACUGUGGCCAGAAGAGAAAUGAUGGCAGAAAGGGAGGGGGUGAGGGAAGGGGAGGUGGAGGAAAGGUAGGACAGAGAGAGGAAAUAAACACAUGAAUUUUUUUAAAGCAACAGAACUCUACAAGGUAGGAACACAAGGACAUUUCCUUAACCUAAUAAAAAAAGAAAAUGCAUUACAAAAGCCCUGUGGUUGACCCCACAUCUUCACUAAGGUCAGAACCAUUUAACACUAUAUUAGAGGUCCUCGAUAGUGUAAUAAAAAAAAAAAAAAAAA